AUGAUAACAAGGAGCCCUUACGACUUCAUCUACAGGGCUGCUCAACACGGGUUUGAAUUUGUGGGGUUUUUUGUCCGUGUUGCUGCAAUCCGUUCUCCCCCCACCCGUUGGAGUCACUGACACGGUUGUAUGGAUGUUCGUUAAGGAGAGGCCCAGCAGCAUGAGGGGCAGGGUUUGCUACGCUGGAGUCGGAGCAUACAACCAAGACAGCAGUCUUCUGAUUCACAGAGUUUCCAAAGUUAGUCUUGAAAGAUAGGCUGGAAGUCCCUUGUUUGAAGUCAGCAAAGCAGUUGGCUGACUCGAUUAACAAUUGAGAUGAGGUGCAUCGUUAUUGGAAAAACGCAUGAAAAUCCUGGCCUUGAAAUCAUACCGUGGGGCAGUGCUUCAGAUGCUGCAAGCAAGAUGGUCAUAGAACCGGUCGGUGAGACAAGUAUGCGUUUUGUUCAUCUUCAUGGCCUGGCGCAUCCCCUGUUCUGUGUGCCUGACUGAGGCUACAGCCCACUUGAUAAGGUCUUCUGGGGAAUUCUGGUGAUGAAAGUAACGGAUGGGUAACAGGCUCUCCAAACAAGUUCUAUUUUGGCAGCCGCAAGGUGACCGGAAGAGAGGUGGACCAAAAGGAAGGCUUCACAACGCAUUAAGGAUUAAAGCAUCAAUCUUAUUUUAUGGGCUAUCAGCAGGAACAGAUUGAAGGAUCUGGCUCAGGACCAGGAUUGUUGGUGAAAAGUGACUUCUGUUUUCCACAGUUGGUGUUCAAGGGAUCACUGAGGUCAACAUACUGUAUCAUCAUAAACGAGUAGUAGUACAGAAUUGAAGCCUGUACGUUACUUGCACAAGUUUACAAAGAAAAGGAAGCUUGGACAUUGGUUAAUCUUGAACCAUUUUCGCUGCCAUGAAUUCAAACCAGAUUUUUGACAAAGAAACCAAAUAAUUUUCUUCAUCAUCAUCAUCUUUUUUUAAGAAUUCCCAUUUUGCAGCAUGCAUUUAUUAAGUGAAACACUUUCUCUUAAUCUGACGAUGCCUGCUAAACAGGCUAAUUAUUUUGAUAGCAGUGGAUGAAAGUAAGAUUCAAAAGGAAGGUUGGAUGAUCUCUUAGCAGAAUUGCGUGUCGAGCAACAUGCCUUCAGUCAGGGCAGGCUCUUACCUCUAAAACUGACUUGGUUGACAGAAAGUAUGGCAAGUAACUUUUGCACAGCCUAAGGCCGAACCAUUGCAAUCUAAUGCUGGUGAAUUUGGAAGCCGGCGAGCAUUUCUGUUCAAUCUGAUAAGAGGUGGUUCAGUAGCUCUGCCACUUCAAAAGGCAGAAACGCAAUGCCUGUAAUUGUAGUCAAGAAUGCGUAUGUUUUAUUUGGGUAGAGGAGAAGGGUGGGAGGCUUGUUCUGCUUCAUAGCUAUUUAACUUUAUUGCUGUAUGAAAAAUCUGAAUCGCCUACGAUUUUGCCAGGAUUUCUAAGAGAUCCGUCUUCACAGCAAAAGUACGCUUACAGCUCAUUUUUUGGCUAAAAUAUGCUGCCCUGGGAAAUCUUCCCUUAACCAAUGCUUUAAAUAAUAACGUAUUUUAAAAGUUGUUCUGACUAAGGAGUGUGGCAGCUUUUAAUACCAGUGUUUUGGGGAUGGUGCAAGUAAAUAUUUCGAGUGGGAUUGUCACCCACGUCGCAGUUACUGACAGUGGUAUUGAUUGGAAGUUACGCUGUGACGCAACUCGCUGAAUCCAGGAUCCACGGCUCGUAGCGUGGUCUUUGGUUAGCACGUCCCUGUGCAGAGUGCCCCCGGUCCUGCCGAGUGACAUCUGGAUGGCCACUUCCUGUUGUCUGUUGCACUGAGCAGGACGACGUGGAUAAGUGUUGACUAUUUAAAACAAACGCACAAACCAACCUGUUUGAAUUUAAAUUAAACACAUAUUUUUCUUUAAAAAAACCCAAAAAACAAUAAAAACUUGAAUAUUCCAACUCAAAAGUUAUUGUAACUCGUAUUAAGGGCUAAGCUUCAUGUAAUUUAUUUAAAUAUUUUAAAAGGAAAAAUAAAAUAUUCAGGCAGUAAAAAAAUUGCUACCAAAGUGUUUUAAACUCAUUGUUCCUCGCUAAGUACCUGGAAGCAGAGUUUUUGAAUUGUUAGCCAGGCUCUUGACAACAGGAAUCUCUUCUGCUGCUUCAGAGAGAGGUUGCUCUUCAGUUCAGUCCUCUAGUUCAGUUCAGUGACUGAUUUGUUCAAAGGUAAGAAAGUGAUUUGGGAGCUGUAAAAGUAGGCAGGCUUGUUGUACUCUUCCAGGCUGUGGAUAAAAACAAGGCAUGGGAAGAUGGAUAGGAUCUCUCCGUUCUGGAUUCUUAACAAUGUAGUGAUCACGGGCUGUCCGUGUUGCCAGCUGUCGAUGCUGUGUCCUCUGUUGAGUAAAUCGGUUGGUUUUAAAAACAAAAUACAUUCUGAUAAACUUAUUAUUUUCUCAUCUGCUACAUUUCAGGUCAUUUUAUUUAAAUAAUAGAAAAGUAAUUUUAUUUUGUGCAUUUUUAAUUCAUUUCCAAUUUCCAUACAAACGCAGCUUGCCACUGCCGCGAGCUAAAAAUCAUUAGGUAGUGUAUA